rnacentral:rRNA from 1 species
CGGCGGACGGGUGAGUAACACGUGGAUAACCUACCUAUAAGACUGGGAUAACUUCGGGAAACCGGAGCUAAUGCCGGAUAAUAUAUUGAACCGCAUGGUUCAAUAGUGAAAGACGGUUUUGCUGUCACUUAUAGAUGGAUCCGCGCCGCAUUAGCUAGUUGGUAAGGUAACGGCUUACCAAGGCGACGAUGCGUAGCCGACCUGAGAGGGUGAUCGGCCACACUGGAACUGAGACACGGUCCAG